rnacentral:rRNA from 1 species
GAUGAACGCUAGCGGCAGGCCUAAUACAUGCAAGUCGGACGGGAUCCAUCGGAGAGCUUGCUCGAAGAUGGUGAGAGUGGCGCACGGGUGCGUAACGCGUGAGCAACCUACCUCUAUCAGGGGGAUAGCCUCUCGAAAGAGAGAUUAACACCGCAUAACAUAAUUCUCCGGCAUCGGAGUAUUAUUAAAUAUUUAUAGGAUAGAGAUGGGCUCGCGUGACAUUAGCUAGUUGGUAGGGUAACGGCUUACCAAGGCGACGAUGUCUAGGGGCUCUGAGAGGAGAAUCCCCCACACUGGUACUGAGACACGGACCAGACUCCUACGGGAGGCAGCAGUAAGGAAUAUUGGUCAAUGGGCGGAAGCCUGAACCAGCCAUGCCGCGUGCAGGAUGACUGCCCUAUGGGUUGUAAACUGCUUUUGUCCAGGAAUAAACCUAAAUACGUGUAUUUAGCUGAAUGUACUGGAAGAAUAAGGAUCGGCUAACUCCGUGCCAGCAGCCGCAGUAACAC